rnacentral:rRNA from 1 species
UACGUAGGGGGCGAGCGUUGUCCGGAAUCAUUGGGCGUAAAGCGCGUGUAGGCGGCCCGGUAAGUCCGCUGUGAAAGUCCAGGGCUCAACCCUGGGAUGCCGGUGGAUACUGUCGGGCUCGAGUCCGGAAGAGGCGAGUGGAAUUCCUGGUGUAGCGGUGAAAUGCGCAGAUAUCAGGAGGAACACCGGUGGCGAAGGCGGGUCUCUGGGCAGUGAACUGACGCUGAGGAGCGAAAGCGUGGGGAGCGAACAG